rnacentral:rRNA from 1 species
UACGGGGGGGCGAAGCGUUGUUCGGAAUUACUGGGCGUAAAGGGCUCGUAGGUGGCCAACUAAGUCAUACGUGAAAUCCCUCGGCUUAACCGGGGAACUGCGUCUGAUACUGGAUGGCUUGAGUUUGGGAGAGGGAUGCGGAAUUCCAGGUGUAGCGGUGAAAUGCGUAGAUAUCUGGAGGAACACCGGUGGCGAAGGCGGCAUCCUGGACCAACACUGACACUGAGGAGCGAAAGCCAGGGGAGCAAACGGG